GGAUUUCAUAAAGUAGAGAGUGAUCAGAGAUGUGUUGAAUAUAUUUGAAAAGUGUAGUAAUUGAGUGCAUAGACAUGGUCCUUAGCCAGACACAUGGGUCAUGUAUUGGGUAAUGUGGAGAUUAUUGGUGACCUUGACAAGAACAGUUUUAGUGCACAGAGGAGGGAGAGGCCAUACUGAGGUGAGUUUAUAAGUAAAUAGAAGUUGAGUAGACUUUUUCAAAAUGUUUUUCUAUGGAGAGAAGAAAAAUGGGAUGAUAUUUGUAGAAAACGAGUUAUAUUAUCAUCUCCUCACUUAAAAAUAAUAUCAUGCCCAAUGAGAAAGAUCCAGUAGAGAGAGAGAUAUAUUGUGUAUGUAGGAGAGGGGUGGGGAUAAGUGCAGAACAGAAGCCUCUAAGGGAUGGUAUCCAGAAUCUAGGUGGGGCCUUUGGUGGGAGUAAGGAGACUUCCUUCAACUUAUCUUGAGGAAAGAUGUCAUUGCUCACUGCUGUGCUGACCUAUAAGGCUCAAAGAAUGACAAAUCAUAAAGCUGUCUUUGCCAAGGGUGACAUGCCUACCUGCAGCACAGCAGUGAGGCCAGCAACAAUGUGACCAAGAACUCCAAACAAGCCAUUGAUUAACUUAGGGAAGUUAAAGCCAGGCAACAUGUGAUCACUGUAGAUAUUGCUAAACUGUCUUAGGAUGUAUGAUUUCAAGAUCUGAAGAUAAAUUUUUGAGACAAUGGGAGUUGUGGGUUUGGGAAAUAGUUUAUAAUUUUGUUUUUUUUUUCUUUCACUCCAGGAGUCCAUUUAUUUAAAAAUGAACCAGACACAGCCCUGGACAGAAACUUCCUGAUGAGAUACAUGAAAAUUCUGAAAUACAAAACAUAAUGAAUUGUAAACAUCUUUCUAUCCACGAAAGAUGGUCAUGAAUAUUUUCAGAGUUCCCCCAUGGAGAAGACUGCAAAAGCUGUUUUGAUACUUGACUUUCCUUGCCUGCUUUAUCACAUUUGAGAAACUACAAAUGGAGUCAAAUAAUCUCAUUUGGAGUCGGCUGAGUAAAUCCAGUAAUCCUCUAAUAAUAGCGACCUCAGGAUUAAUUUAAAAUAUAGACAAAUAACUCACCUAAAAAUAUCACCUCUGACUGAAUAAUAUCAAUCAGGAGUAUUUUACAAUAUAGACAACUCACCUAAAAAUAUCACGUUUGACUGAAUAUACCUUUGAUUUUUCAAUGUAGUAUCCUGAAGAUAUAUUUGGUGUAACAGCUCUUCAACAAAUAUUUAUAGUGUCAGGCAGUGUUCUAGGAGUUGUGACACAGUUGAGAACAAAAUAAACAAGUCUCUGCUUUCAUAAUGUAUACAAACGGUAAUAAGCAUUAAGAAAGAGAAGAAAAAGGAGGCAGGAAAUAGGCAUAGAGUGAGAUUAUAGUGAUAUUUUAUAUAAGGCAGUAAAGGUGGACCUUUUUGAUUUGAGAUACCUAUUUGUGCACAGACAAAUGAGGAAGCAGAAGCUGUGUGGCUAUCUAGGAGAAGAGAGUUUUCAGGCAGAAAGAAUGGGAAGUACAAAGGAUGAGGAACAUUAAGGAGACAGUGGGGCUGGAGUAGAGAGAGUGGUGGCAGAAAUUAGGAUCAGAGAGAUAAGACAUUGGAUUGUACUUUUUAAGGUAAAAAUUUACAUUUAAUAAAAUGCACAUAUCUUAAAGUACA